ensembl:lncRNA
UGAACAUCAUUGCAGAGAAAGAGAAAGAAGGUGGCUGGGAGAAUCACAGUCUGGAGGAAGAUGUUUGGGAUGAAGGGAUGAAUCUUUUCCAUUUUGCUUUAGCUUUUUAAAGGUCCCAGAGGAGCAUUCACAUAGAGAUGACAAGCAAUUAGGAGGGGGUCUGAGGCUGAGGAAGGGGGUGAGACCAGAAGUUAAAGAUUCAAGGCAGCCUCAACACCUUUACCUGGCACUAAUUAGGUGUUAAAAGAUGUUCCUAUUCUUCUAAGUGUGGUCUACAGAACAGCAGCAUCAACACCACCCGGAAGUUUGUCAGAAGUAUAGAAUCUUGGGUCCCAUCCAGAACUGACUGUUAUGGUUUGAAUGUCUGUGUCCCCUCCAAAAUUCACAUUGAAACUGAAUCCCCAGUGCAACAGUAUUAGGAGGUGGGGCCUGUAGGAGAUGAUUAAGUCAUGAGGCUUCCACCCUUGUGAAUGGAUUAGUACCCUUAUAAAAGGGCUCGCAGGAACUAACCAGGCCCUUUUUGCCCCUCCGCUUUCUGCCAUGGGAGGACACAGUAACAAUGUGCUGUGCUGGGAGCAGAGAGCAGCCCUCACCAGACACAGAAUCUACUGAUGCUUUGUUCUUGGACUUCCCAGCCUCCAGAACUGCCAGAAAUAAAUUUCCAUUAUUUGCAUAUUACCCAGUCUGUGAUAUUUGCAUUGUAGCAGCACAAAUGGACUAAGACACGGACUAAUCAGAAUCUGCAUCUCAACAGGAUCCUCCAGUGAUUUGUGUGCACACUGAAGUUCAAGAGGCUCUGCUCCAGAUGCUGUCAUUAUUCUCCUAAUUUUAUGGUUAAGGAAGCUGAGUCUCUGAUGGAGAAGAAGAUGGCGAGGCCUUGGCUGGAGUGGAGAGUUCAGCUAGCAAGAGAAGCACAUCUCUCCGGUACACAGGAGAAUGAAUCCAGAGGGAGGACCAACACAACUCAGUGGAAACACAGCGAGGAGAAAGGAAGUGCACCUGGGAGGACACGGGGAAUGAAUGCUCUUUGGAGAAGUGGCUAUGACAUGCUCUAGAGAGGUGGGCAGCACUUGUACAGGCUGACAUGGGGGAGAAGCCAGCCCAGAAACUGCCUCUUUCCUGGACUGACUCUGGCCCCAAGGCCCAUUUGGGGCAAAGGAGCUAUUUACUAUAGGAAGUGAAGACCCAUUUUUCUCCCAGCACCUUUGGUGCCUAGAACAGCACUUGGCAUGAAAAUAAGUAAGUAGGAAACGGUAUCUGUGUGUGUCUGCACCACGUGCCACACACCUGGGUACACACAUCCCCUGCAGAGAGACAGCUCAGGUCCAUUUUUCCUCAUCACUCCAGGGAACAGGGCAGGGCAGGGAAGGUCUAGGGCCCUAUGGUGGUGGGGCAGGGGAACAUGGGCAAAGAAGGAGAAAGGGUGCCCCGGGCCCCUGGGAGGGCCAUUCUGUGGGAUGCCCAGGUGCACACACACUCGGAGGCACACAGGCCACAGGAUCAGAUAAGAGGCACAGUCCCAGAUGAAGGCAAGUUCUAAAAACCCCUUUAGCCUCCUCACCCAUGGAACUGUGGACUCCUAAGCUGUGUUGGAGUAAAUUACUUGCUUAAUGAGAUUUCAAUUAACAAAAACAAAUUAAAAUCACUUUGGUAAUUAAGCUGCUGUGAACCUCGCCAGCAGCUCUCCCUCAGACCUCAGAUUUCCAUGGGGAAGGACCUGGGAACAGGGGUCCACUUGGACUCAGGCAGCAGUGCUGCUGGGACCUUGGCAGGGCAGGGGGCUCCCCACCUUGGGGCUUCCACCCCGGAAGCUGCAGCUUCCUGAAGCCAGAGUGGGUGGAAGGGAGGGGGCAGUACACAGCAGGCAACAUGGGCUCUAAACUUACAUUCAUCAUCAAAGCCCUGCCACUUGGUGGUUGUGUGACCUAGGACACAUUAAUUAACCUGUCUGAGCCUCAGUUUCCUUGUCUGCAAAAUGGGGUAAUACUAGUAACCGACAUCAUUGGGUUGUGGGAACAUUAAAGGAAUGAAUGCUUGCAAAAAUUUAGAGGCUGGGUGCGGUGGCUCACACCUGCAAUCCCAGCACUUCAGGAGGCCAAGACGGGUGGUUCACAAGGUCAGGAGUUCAAGACGAGUCUGGCCAAGAUGGUGAAACCUUGUCUCUACUAAAAAUUACCAAAAAAUUAGCCGGGUGCAGUGGCAGGCAGGAGAACGGCUUGAACCCGGGAGGCAGAGGUUGCGGUGAACUGAGAUCACACCACUGCACUCCAGCCUGGAGAUAGAGUGAGAUUCUGUCUCAAAAAAAGAAUUUAGAAGAGGGCCUGUCCUACAGCAGAGGCUCUUGACUCACUUUACCCUGCGUGGUGCUAUGGAGGAUUUCUCUAGCCUUAUGAUUUGCCUUGUCCUGAACCCCAACCCCUCCAGCCCUUUUCCUCUGAGUUAGGUGAAUGAGGAUCUACCCACAGAGGCUCCCUUGGAGGUGAGGUUUCUCCAAGUUCUGGCCCACCCAGGCCCCCAUCUCUUUUCAUCAGAGCCAGCAGCUCAAAUCUGGGAGCCAUAACACUCAUGUCUCUUGAAGAACAAACACUCCUGUCUCUGGAUCACAAAAUCACCCCCACUCUUCCACAUGGGAGGCCUGGAGGGUUUAGUAGUGCUGAUAUCACUGGCCCCAUUCCGCAGAUGAGGAAAAGUGCUUGACGGCUUACCUAGUGGCUCGAAGACAGCAGCAGUGCCCAGUGCUGGCCAGAAUCCAAGGAGGCCGCAUUCGAAUGCCAUGCUAACGAAACUGUGACCAAGUGCAGCCUUUCUGGAGAGCACAAUGCUAAGUGUGUAAGAAAUUGAAAUGAUUAAAGUUUUAGAUUUUUUUUGUUCUUAAAAGUUUGUAGCAUUUACACUUUUGAAGUUAUUAGAGCAAAAACUACACUAAGCCUUUUGGGACAGCAGUGUGUGUGUGUGUGUGUGUGUGUGUGUGUGUGUGUGUUUUUAUAUAUAACAUGUUUUAUUUAUAGAUAUUAAUAUGUAUACACAAGUACAUAUACACACACCCCAAAUGCCAAAUGUCAUUUUUCUCUGUGGUGGUAGAAAUUACAGAUAGUUUUCGUUUACACGUUCAUUCACUCAUUCACACAACAAAUAUUUUUAUUUUUAUUGACUUUUAAUUUUUUGAAGACAAGGUCUCACUGUUGCCCAGGCUGGAGUGCAGUGGCACGAUCUCAGCUCACUGCAGUCUUGACCUCCUGGGCUCAAGCGAUCCUCCCACCUCAGCCUCCUGAGUAGCUGAGUAGCUGGGACCACAAGUAUGCACCACUGAGCCCAGCUAAUUUUUUAUUUUUUGCAAAGACAAGGUCUCUCUGUGUUGCCCAGUUGGUCUUGUGGUCUUGGACACAAGCAGUCCUCCUGCCUCGCCCUCCCAAAGUGCUAGGAUUAUAGGCAUGAGCCAUGGCGUCUAGCCAACAGAUAUUUUUAGUGUCUGUAAAACAGCACAAUGAACAUGACAGACUUAAAUCCUGUCUUCGGGAAACUCAUGGCCUGUUGAUGAAGAUGGACAUUGGACACAAGACAAGGUGAAUACUAUAGAAGAGGAAGGGUGGGGCCGCAGAAGCCCAUCACAGAAGGAGGCGAUGGAGGGGGUGAGGUCUGCCAUAAACAUUUAAUUCUUUUGUAAUUAGACUAAAAUAAAACAAUUUAUACAUUUUUUAAAUGAACCCCAGGGGUCCCAUAACUAGUUAGUAACAGAACUGAAAGUAGAAACUAAAAGCCUUCUGGCUCCCAGGCAAACGGUUUUUUUUUUUUUUUUUUUUUUUUUUUUUUUUUAAUUUAACUGACACCCAUAGCCUAGAAAGUUUGAACAGCAUCCUAGUCUUCAGUAAAAAAUAUCUCAAAACUCUCAAAGGAGAUGUCGGUCAGAGGUGGUUGUAUCAUCUAUGUACCUCAUGUCAGAUAGAGGAGAUGUCCCCAUUCAUACAUCCAUGUCAUCCAAGAUGUUGGGUACACACACACACACACACACACACGCACACACACACAAAACACCUCUGACUCCUGACUCCUCCUGGCAUGCCCUCCUG